rnacentral:tRNA from 1 species
CGGAGCGAUGCGCAGUCUGGUAGCGCGUCUGGUCUGGGACCAGAGAGUCGCGGUUCAAAUCCUGCCGCUCCGACAA